GCUUGAGAAAACUUAGUUUCAAUUUUAAUGUUUAAUUUCAACAUUGGUGCGUUUGCUAAUGUUUUCCACUGGUGUCUCCUAUUGUUGGGUAAAUUAAUACCUCUUAUGGCACAAAUGUUGUCAUUUACUUUGCCAUGUGUAUAACAAAGCAAAAAGAUAUAUAUAAUUUCAUGUAGCACAUGCCCAUGGCUGGUCUAAGCUGUAUAAUUCAGACAUUGUAGGUAAAAGUAAAAUGUUAUUACCGAGA